rnacentral:snRNA from 1 species
UAAACUGGCAUUCCUAAGCGGCACACGUAGGGCAUCUCUAUUGCUCUACGUGCGGAAUCGACAUCAAGAGAUUUCGGAAGCGUAAUUUUUGUUACCUGGGCUGCUAGUGAUCGUUGGUCCUGGCGCUCUA